AUUGGUCCAAAUCUAAGCUCUAAAGAGACUUUCAGCAUUUCAAUUUUAGCGCCAUUAUAUCUUCCAGUUUCUUGUAGCACUAGUGCUAAGAUAAGGUUCAAAAAAGAAAAAAUAAAAAACACAGCAAAACGACAUCAUCUCGCACGAAACCCUUCUCUAAGCGCACUCUCGACCCUUUCUCCCAAGCUGAGGCUUCUUCUCUCUGAACAUUCGACAAACAUCUCUGUUUCACUAUUUCCUCUGAACUUCCAGGAAACUGACGCCCCUUCUUGACUAGCACUCGCAGAUCCAAUCUCUGUUUCACUUUUCUGCAAAUUAAUUAACUUCUUUCUGUGGCUGAGGUGAACUCUGUUCAGAUCUACGUUUCCCUCUAUAUUCUGCUGCUGGUUGUAGAUGCUGUACAAGCAGUAAAGAUGAACAGUGCACGAGGGGAAGUGAAGUACCCGAUCAGGUUAGUGUGUCUUGACCAUCUGUAGCUGGUUACUGAUGAUCUCUAUCACUCUCAUUAAUGAGUGUGGUGUUAAGAACUACUUUGCUUUUAUUCAAUAAAGCAAGCAGAUAAAUUACAAACACAUUAAAAUUGAAGACUCUCUCGUUGAUGAAUUGAAGUGUUAAGAGCUUCCUCAGAUGAGCUCCUUCCCAAUCAAUCGUCCAUGAUGCGAUCAUUGUGGCCUCCGUUUGGUGCACCUGCAGCCUCUUUCUGUUUUUUUCUUUUUUAUAACAAUGAUACCAUAAAUGCAUUCACAUUAGUGAUCCUUUACUAUCGAAUUGAUGACAUGAUCAGGCUUGUCAAAGAUGAAAGCCAAAAUGAUGAGGAAUAGGGUCAGUAUAUUUGAAGAUGCGCUGGGAUCUUCCAUUCUGUUAUUUCUGUCAUUAGUCUCUGGUAGUGCGAGUUGGGGUUUGUGGAGGGCGUAUUCUUGCCUAUGUUGUUGCAUUGAAGAGUAUUUUUGAGUUUGAUUAUUUAAAUGCAAUGAUGAGCUUUCUU